AAAAAAAAAAAAAGGUCAUGGUGAGACGUGGAAGUUGUGGGCAUGGUGUCGCCUUUAACGUGAAAGGUUUUUUCCGGAAUGAUAAGGCUAUCGGAUAUUAUGCUCCCAUCUCAUUUCAAACAAUAUUUAUAGCUGCUGCUAAUGGCUCGCCGACUCAGCUCAUUUUAAAUAUGUAAAACCUGAUUCUUUGGACUGUCUGCGGCAGCAGAGAUCGGGAUGUAAAAACGGCACUUACAUAUUAUGACCUUACAAAGUUGACAUGUUAAGAGCAAAUGGAGAAAGGGACAAAUGCCUUUUAGUUGUAAUGUCUCAGUUCUAAAUUCAAUUAAAUUGUAAUGACUUAUUACAGUUUAACAUGAAACUCCAGUAGCUAUGUUGAAUACUGAUUCAUGUAGUACUCAUGGUAUUGAAUGCUCAAUAUCAUAAAUCAACUGAACUCAAGCACUUGGAUCAAAGGGAAUAUGGACAUUUGUGUGUUUGCCUAACUUUCUCAACUAAGACCUCAAUAAAGAGAGCAGGGCAUGGGCUUUUCCUGAAACUCGAAUUUCUGGUUUUGCGCAAUGUCAGAUAAAGUAUAAAAGGGGAGCGGGAGCAGAGAAAGACUGCAUAUAGACUGAGAUUCCAAACCAGAAGGAUGAAGAAGAUUGCAGUCCCGCUCGCCACAUUCAGCAGCUGUCUAUGUGAAAAGCAGGUCAAUGAAAAAAAUGACAAAGUCCAUCAGUGCAGAACAUCAGCCAGCUGCUGAGAAAUCUACUCCCUCACUUCCAUAAGCCAAAACCUGGGAGCAGUGGAAGAGAAAAUCACAAACAUGGUGGAAAAAUUUAGUGUUGCAAAACGCUGAAAAAGAAGUCCUUUAGCUACGGAGCCUUACUGGAGGCACGCCUCAGGUGGCCUUUUCUGCAGCUCUCAGGGAAUCUGGCACUGGAAACAUUGGACCUUUCACCACUGCGACCCCACUGCGCUACAAGACACUGCCAAUAGCUACAAUCCUUCAACAGGCAUUUUCAUGGCAAUGGUCAAAGGGAUUUACUUCUUUCGAUUCUCAAAGUUCAACAACUUAAGUCCUGCUCCCAACUCUGUUGUGAGCCUUGUGCAGAGCGGUCAACGGCUGAUUUCUGUCUGGGACACCUCGGGGUCCUCUGGGCUGCAACGCUGUGGUCACCCCCCUCGAGGUGGGAGACAAUGUGUACGUAGAGCUCCAGGCAAACAGGAUUGUCUAUAAUGAUUCCAUGAACUACAACAGCUUCA